GGUAAUAUUCUUUUCACAAAUACGUUAAUGUUAAAUAUUACUUGUGAAAAGUAAUCCCCCGAUUCCAAUUUUCAACAGUCCGCUUAUUUGAGCAGGAAAACGCUGAACACCAGCUUCUUUUCCAUCUUUGUUUUCUACCUGUCAACUGUCAGUUUAGGCUGCUCGCCGGCUCCUCAUCACCACUUCAAGAUGGCGGCCGAAUUUCUCGCGUCACAGCAGCCAAUGCUGCGUCUACUUAUAAGAUGUCUAUGCUAGCACUUCUUUACAAAACUGCUUUUAUUUUUGAAUUAACCGGAAGUGACACACGCUCUCUAAAACUUACGGUCCAAUAAAAUUGGAACACAAAAUAAACGCAUGUAAAAACCCUUAACUACUGCUAUAUGUGGGUGGGGAUAAUGAACAUUAACAAACAUCAUAAAAACGAUAUAUUGUCCUCUAGAACUAGCACGUCACUCCGUCAUCCUGCCGUGACGUAGCAAUGUGGCGGCCAUCUUGUACAGCGAUUUUCAUUCAAUUUACCUUAUCAACGCCAAAACGUGUGUUAUUUAGAAAGUCCAUCCAUCCAUUCAUUCAUUUCCUACCGCUUGUCCCUUAUGGGGUCGCUGGAUCCUAUCCCAGCUGCACAUGGGACAUUUAAUUAAAGAUCCCCAAAAAUAUUCUUACCGAUGAAAGCUCCAGCUCAAAGGGGCGUGUCGGUUUUCGGCCGUAGUGUCGCGAGAGUACUGUACUUCCGGUGUGAAUAACUGCUCAGCGUGCACGUUAACGUGGUCGGGUCGCGGGGGCAGCAGCCUAAGCAGAGAAGCCCAGACUUCCCUCUCCCCAGCCACUUUGUCCAGCUCCUCCCGAAGCGUUCCCAGGCCAGUCGGGAGAGAUAGUCUUCCCAACGUGUCCUGGGUCUUCCCUAAACACCUCCCUCGGGAGGCAUUCGGGUGGUAUCCUGAGCAGAUGCCCAAACCACCUCAUCUGGCUCCUCUUAACGUGGAGGAGCAGCGGCUUUACUUUGAGUUCCCCCCGGAUAACAGAGCUUCUCACCCUAUCUCUAAGGGAGAGACCCGCUACCCGGCGGAGGAAACUCAUUUUGGCCGCUUGUACCCGUGAUCUUGUCCUUUCGGUCAUAAUCCAAAGCUCAUGACCAUAGAGAAUGGGGACAUCUCCAUUCAUCCAUUUUCUACCGUGUGUCCCGUUCGGGGUCGCUGGAACCUAUCUCAGAUGCAUUCGGGCGAAAGGCGGGGUACACCCUGGACAAGUCGCCACCUCAUCGCAGGGCUAACACAUUAAGACAGACGACAUUCACACACUAGGGCCAAUUUAGUGUUGCCAAUCAAUCUAUCCCCAGGUGCAUGUCUUUGGAGGUGGGAGGAAGCCGGAGUAUCCCGGAGAGAACCCACGCAGUCACGGGGAGAACAUGCAAACUCCACACAGAAAGAUCCCGAGCGCAGGAUCGAACCCAGGACCUUCGUAUAGUGAGGCAGACGCACUAAAUUCUGUUCCACCGUGCUGCCCGGACAUCUCCAAUGACAUCUCACGUCCCUUCUUCCGCAUAGCAAAAAUGUAUGACAUUAAUAAUAUAUUUACGUGUAACAUUCAUACACAUGUCAUGUACAACAGACCUUUACAUUAAAAUGGUAUGACCAUUGGUAGACAAUAGUAGAUGAACACUGGACCUAUACUUCAUUAGUAUUGAACAAAGCAUAAAUCACCAAAUAUAUUGUUUGUGUAGUUUACAGCUAAAUCUUUGUUCCCUCUGGGUUGUUACGGUCUGAAAUUA